rnacentral:sRNA from 1 species
UUCCCCGUUCGAUGUUCUGUUAAUAUGUUGUAGUACGGUUCGCCAAAACCGUCUGAUUGCUUAGUACCCAAUCAAUUUACCACACAUUUUUAUGAUGGAACUGACAACGGGUUUUUCG